rnacentral:rRNA from 1 species
UUCGCAAUGCCCGAAAGGGUGACGAAGCGACGCCGCGUGCGGGAAGAAGGCCUUCGGGUUGUAAACCACUGUCGGGAGUUAGGAAAUGUAAGGGUGCUAAUAGUAUCCUUACUUGACUAAGGCUCCGGAGGAAGCCACGGCUAACUCUGUGCCAGCAGCCGCGGUAAUACAGAGGCGGCAAGCGUUGUUCGGAAUUAUUGGGCGUAAAGAGCACGUAGGCGGCUAUGUAAGUCGGUUGUGAAAGCCUUCCGCUCAACGGAAGAACAGCAUCCGAUACUACAUGGCUUGAGUGCGGGAGGGGAGAGUGGAACUUCUGGUGGAGCGGUGAAAUGCGUAGAUAUCAGAAGGAACGCCGGCGGCGAAAGCGGCUCUCUGGCCCAUAACUGACGCUGAGUGUGCGAAAGCUAGGGGAGCAAACGGGAUUAGAUACCCCGGUAGUCCUAGCCGUAAAC